UCCGUAGGUGAACCUGCGGAAGGAUCAUUAAAUAAUCAAUAAUCUUGGCUUGUCCAUUAUUAUCUAUUUACUGUGAACUGUAUUAUUAUUUGACGUUUGAGGGAUGUUCCAAUGUUAUAAGGAUAGACAUUGGAGAUGUUAACCGAGUCAUAAUCAGGUUUAGGCCUGGUAUCCUAUUAUUAUUUACCAAAUGAAUUCAGAAUUAAUAUUGUAACAUAGACCUAAAAAAUCUAUAAAACAACUUUUAACAACGGAUCUCUUGGUUCUCGCAUCGAUGAAGAACGUAGCAAAGUGCGAUAACUAGUGUGAAUUGCAUAUUCAGUGAAUCAUCGAGUCUUUGAACGCAACUUGCGCUCAUUGGUAUUCCAAUGAGCACGCCUGUUUCAGUAUCAAAACAAACCCUCUAUCCAACUUUUGUUGUAUAGGAUUAUUGGGGGCCUCUCGAUCUGUAUAGAUCUUGAAACCCUUGAAAUUUACUAAGGCCUGAACUUGUUUAAUGCCUGAACUUUUUUUUAAUAUAAAGGAAAGCUCUUGUAAUUGACUUUGAUGGGGCCUCCCAAAUAAAUCUUUUUUAAAUUUGAUCUGAAAUCAGGUGGGAUUACCCGCUGAACUUAAGCAUAUCAAUAAGCGGAGGAA
rnacentral:rRNA from 1 species